UUUAAUGCCUUCUAAGAAAUUUACAAUUGAAAUAUCAAAACAACAGUACAUCUACUAAGUUAUUAACAAAAAUAAGUUUUACGUCGGUCUGAGAUUCUAUGCAAGACUUUCGACCUCAUCGAUUCGACCUUAUACCAGACACUACUGUACUUCGCACCGGGGCGUUCAGACGUUUUGACAUCUGAAAAUGUUCAUACGUCAAAGUACGUUCGGACCAGUUGAGCGCUGGUUUUGUACAUUCGACCUACAAUUGUAAACAAACAUAAUUAAAUUCUUAUCAGUAAGAUAAUUAUACUUAACAUGUAUUUUAAACACUUUAAUCGUUCAUCAAAAUAAUAAGAGUGGAUCUGCAUGCAAGGUCAUAGGAAAACUCAUUAGUGCUGCUGUAAAAUUGGCAUCUGGAAUUGUACCAGGGAUGCGCAAAGGAAGCGGAUUGCCGUUAAUAGCAAUGCUUUAAGCAAAGGUUGUUGGAGGUGCUUCAGGAGUACGCUUCGAAUGUGUGAUGAGGAACUGGCGCAAGAUAUAUAGUAGUCCUUAAGAUUAUUAUGGAGGUCAUGGAGGCAAACGCUCCGACUUUGUUUUAUCGACGCAAAUUAACCCGGAAAAGUACCGAAAAAUGCAUUACGUUCACCGUAAACAGCUUUUAGAAGUGUGUAAUUCGAUAUUAACAACAACAAAUAAUUCAUUUUGGAAGUGUAACGAUCACAGUUUAGUAUAUCAAGGGCUGGAUCAGCCUGAUAAAGUGAAAUAUUCUCAGAGGCAUAUAAUACCCUGUAUUUCUGCAUAUUCAAUAAAAUGGGUAGUCAACUAGUGGUUCAUA